rnacentral:rRNA from 1 species
UUUGAAUCUUAUAAAAGGUAACGCCUGCCCAGUGACUUUAUGUUUAACGGCCGCGGUACUCUGACCGUGCAAAGGUAGCGUAAUCACUUGUCUUUUAAAUAAGGACUAGUAUGAAUGGCAUCACGAGGGCUUAGCUGUCUCCCUCAUCUAAUCAGUGAAACUGAUCUUCCUGUGAAAAAGCAGGAAUUAACACAUAAGACGAGAAGACCCUAUGGAGCUUUAAACCAAAAACUACCUGUUUAAUCUAUUAUUCUAAAAUAAUUUCAAAUCAACCGACCUAGUCUAGGUUUUCAGUUGGGGUGACUGUGGAGAAAAAUAAAUCCUCCACGCAGACUUAAGCUUUGAGCAACCGCUCUACGCAUUAGCAAGUCUAACUGCACUUGAUCCAAUAUUUUUGAUCAACGGACCAAGUUACCCUAGGGAUAACAGCGCAAUCCAUUUCAAGAGUCCAUAUCGACAAAUGGGUUUACGACCUCGAUGUUGGAUUAGGACACCCAAGUGGUGCAGCCGCUACAUAAGGUUCGUUUGUUC